GACAUACUCUCUCCGUUCAGAAUUAUUUGUCGCCAAAAUGGAUGUAUCUAGACGUAUUUUAAUUCUAGAUACACCCGUUUUCAAGACAAGUAAUUUCGAACGGAGAAAGUACGUG
rfam:Triticum aestivum genome assembly, contig: Triticum_aestivum_CS42_TGACv1_scaffold_211969_3AS